rnacentral:lncRNA from 1 species
UAUAAUAUUAAUUAUAAAAUUACUUGAAAACAUAUCGGUAAGCAAGCAAGUCAAAACCCUAACACUGAGGAGCUUGCUCUAUGAAACUACUAACACUCCGACUAGGGACAGGGACUCAAACCCGGUUGCCUAGAAGAGGAGAUUCGAUUCGCUUUAGUUAGUCGGGUCUUAACAAGGAGCGAAUAUAUGCACUAUAAUAUCAUAUCGCCCCAUGUUCUAUAAAACAUAUACUCUAGUUGAUUGAGGGAUUGAUAUAUGUUCAUAACCGGACUUCCCCCUAGCACGCCCCACUCCUAACUGCAUAAGAAAUUGAACCUGAAACAAAGGCUGUGGGGGAUGGUCGUAGAUCA